GUCCACAUGGUGUAACGGUAACACGCUUCGAUCGAGUAGAUCGGUAAUAUCAUACUUGUAUUGAGGUGAUGUGGGUUCGAAUCCCAUUGCGGACU